rnacentral:lncRNA from 1 species
ACAAGGACACGGGCACAGACAUGGGUAGUAAUGAGACCUAUUAAGUAUUUUCCCCUCCAGUAGGCAGAUGUGCAUGAUACAUAAAUUACAAAUAAGAGGAACCUUGUGAACACAUUUCAAAGGCAAGAUGAGUGAAUAUCGGUGACUUGUGGUUUUCAUGUAUUUUAUAAUUCAGUUCUUGGUAUAAAAUAUAUUUUAUAUUCCAACCUCGUAUACACCUAUACACUCUUGAAAAAUCGAAAGAAGAGUUUCACUGAAGAAAACUUAAUUUCACAAGGUGUGAUACUCUCUGAUGUUUUAUUUUACAUCAUAUACUAGUUCAAUUAAAAAAUAAAUUCAUUAAGCUCAUCAGAAUUGACUGUGCCUGCAAUUUCAAAAAUGAGUCGGAGGAACAAGAUAUUAAUGACUGGGCACCGCCUCUCCCACCUCCACCUGAUGCAGUGCUCGAUGGUGAACUCACUGAGCCAGGCCAUCUGUGUCCUUGCAAGGUGACCUUCCCUGUGCCCUUGCAGUGGGCAUUGUGACACUUUCCUCUGAGACACUUCCACAGUUGUGUAUCUCAUGCUUUGUUUUCAAAACAGAUUCCUUGAAGCCUGUGGUGGUUUAAUCUGGCCAGCCUGGGAGGGACUAUUCCACUUCACAGCGAAUUUCUCUUUGAUCCUUUUGCUAAUUUCGUUCUGAGGUCAAUCUUAUUC